CCUACGGGAGGCAGCAGUAGGGAAUCUUCCACAAUGGGCGAAAGCCUGAUGGAGCAACGCCGCGUGGGUGAAGAAGGUCUUCGGAUCGUAAAACCCUGUUGUUAGAGAAGAAAGUGCGUGAGAGUAACUGUUCACGUUUCGACGGUAUCUAACCAGAAAGCCACGGCUAACUACGCGACAGCAGCCGCGGUAAUACGUAGGUGGCAAGCGUUAUCCGGAUUUAUUGGGCGUAAAGGGAACGCAGGCGGUCUUUUAAGUCUGAUGUGAAAGCCUUCGGCUUAACCGGAGUAGUGCAUUGGAAACUGGGAGACUUGAGUGCAGAAGAGGGGAGUGGAACUCCAGGUGUAGCGGUGAAAUGCGUAGAUAUAUGGAAGAACACCAGUGGCGAAAGCGGCUCUCUGGUCUGUAACUGACGCUGAGGUUCGAAAGCGUGGGUAGCAAACAGGAUUAGAUACCCCAGUAGUC
rnacentral:rRNA from 1 species